ACUGGCUGUAAAAGUGGAGCUAAGUGUCUGCCAAAAAAAUAUAAUUCUCUUCCUCAUUUCACAGGGAACAGGCUUCUAAAUUGCUCAAGAGAUGGUGAAAGGUAGGAAAGCUGAGGCAGUAAGGAUAUCACAAAGGAAAACUAUGAAAAGAGGCUUGAGUAUGAAGGUGGCAGCCAAACAAAUCUGUGCAGAUAAAAGAGUGAUUGGCAGUGACAAGACUUCAUCCUGAAGAUGAGCACAAUCACUUUGAGCCUAAUGAGCACAAUGAUGGUCCAUGAGUCCACAGAAUUAUUGCUUGCCCAGGUAGCGUGGUCAAGAAUGUCCUUCAAUUCCAAAGGUUGACAGGUGUAAGCCCAACUCCCCAGAAUUCUAUAUACAAGAAAAAAAGGGAAAGAAGGCAAUGCCCCACAUGGUCUGAGUUUGGAUGGAAGAAGUAUGAUUC